AGUUUGAGAAACACUGCUCUAAAGGCACCUGAUCCUGUUUUUAACUUGGAAGCUAAGCAGGAUCAGCCCUGGUUAGUACUUAAAUGGGGGGCUGACAAUGCAUACCAGGUGCUGGAGGCU
rnacentral:rRNA from 11 species